rnacentral:rRNA from 1 species
UACGGAAGGCAGCAGUGGGGAAUAUUGCACAAUGGGCGCAAGCCUGAUGCAGCCAUGCCGCGUGUAUGAAGAAGGCCUUCGGGUUGUAAAGUACUUUCAGUCGUGAGGAAGGUGUUAAGGUUAAUAACCUUAGCAAUUGACGUUAGCGACAGAAGAAGCACCGGCUAACUCCGUGCCAGCAGCCGCGGUAAUACGGAGGGUGCGAGCGUUAAUCGGAAUUACUGGGCGUAAAGGGCACGCAGGCGGUUAAUUAAGUUGGAUGUGAAUCCCCGGGCUUAACCUGGGAAUGGCAUUCAAGACUGGUUAGCUAGAGUCUUGUAGAGGGGGUAGAAUUCCAUGUGUAGCGGUGAAAUGCGUAGAGAUGUGGAGGAAUACCGGGUGGCGAAGGCGGCCCCUGGGACAAGGACUGACGCUCAUGUGCGAAAGCGUGGGGAGCGAAACAGGGAUUAGAUACC